rnacentral:sRNA from 1 species
GUCUGGAUGCUGCAGGUCCGGGGUGAGUUCGCCAGGCCCUCGGUGAGCUGGAUAUGCGGUGUCCCCGUGUCCGAAUGGUGCAGGUCCAGGGUGAGGUCGCCAGGCCCUUGGUGGGCUGGAUGUGCCGUGUCCGGAUGGUACAGGCCUGGGGUAAGGUCGCCAGGCCCUUGGUGAGCUGGAUGUGCAGUGUCCGGAUGGUGCAGGUCCGGCGUGAGGUCGCCAGGCCUUGCGGUUAGCUGGAUGUGCGGUGUCCGGAUGGUGCAGGUCCGGCGUGAGGUCGCCAGGCCCUGCGGUUAGCUGGAUGUGCGGUGUCCGGAUGGUGCAGGUCCGGGGUGAGGUCCCCAGGCCCUCGGUGAUCUGGAUGUGGUGUGUCCUUCUCGUUUCAGGGGUUGGCUCUGUUCCGGCCGCAGAGCACCGUCUGCGUGAGGAGAUCCUGGCCAAGUUCUUGCACUGGCUGAUGAGUGUGUACGUUGUCGAGCUGCUCAGGUCUUUCUUUUAUGUCACGGAGACCACGUUUCAGAAGAACAGGCUCUUUUUCUACCGGAAGAGUGUCUGGAGCAAGUUGCAAAGCAUUGGAAUCAGACAGCACUUGAAGAGGGUGCAGCUGCGGGAGCUGUCGGAAGCAGAGGUCAGGCAGCAUCAGGAAGCCAGGCCCGCCCUGCUGACGUCCAGACUCCGCUUCAUCCCCAAGCCUGACGGGCUGCGGCCGAUUGUGAACAUGGACUACGUCGUGGGAGCCAGAACGUUCCGCAGAGAAAAGAGGGCCGAGCGUCUCACCUCGAGGGUGAAGGCACUGUUCAGCGUGCUCAACUACGAGCGGGCGCGGCGCCCCGGCCUCCUGGGCGCCUCUGUGCUGGGCCUGGACGAUAUCCACAGGGCCUGGCGCACCUUCGUGCUGCGUGUGCGGGCCCAGGACCCGCCGCCUGAGCUGUACUUUGUCAAGGUGGAUGUGACGGGCGCGUACGACACCAUCCCCCAGGACAGGCUCACGGAGGUCAUCGCCAGCAUCAUCAAACCCCAGAACACGUACUGCGUGCGUCGGUAUGCUGUGGUCCAGAAGGCCGCCCAUGGGCACGUCCGCAAGGCCUUCAAGAGCCACGUCCUACGUCCAGUGCCAGGGGAUCCCGCAGGGCUCCAUCCUGUCCACGCUGCUCUGCAGCCUGUGCUACGGCGACAUGGAGAACAAGCUGUUUGCGGGGAUUCGGCGGGACGGGCUGCUCCUGCGUUUGGUGGAUGAUUUCUUGUUGGUGACACCUCACCUCACCCACGCGAAAGCCUUCCUCAGCUAUGCCCGGACCUCCAUCAGAGCCAGUCUCACCUUCAACCGCGGCUUCAAGGCUGGGAGGAACAUGCGUCGCAAACUCUUUGGGGUCUUGCGGCUGAAGUGUCACAGCCUGUUUCUGGAUUUGCAGGUGAACAGCCUCCAGACGGUGUGCACCAACAUCUACAAGAUCCUCCUGCUGCAGGCGUACAGGUUUCACGCAUGUGUGCUGCAGCUCCCAUUUCAUCAGCAAGUUUGGAAGAACCCCACAUUUUUCCUGCGCAUCAUCUCUGACACGGCCUCCCUCUGCUACUCCAUCCUGAAAGCCAAGAACGCAGGGAUGUCGCUGGGGGCCAAGGGUGCCGCCGGCCCUCUGCCCUCCGAGGCCAUGCAGUGGCUGUGCCACCAAGCAUUCCUGCUCAAGCUGACUCGACACCGCGUCACCUACGUGCCACUCCUGGGGUCACUCAGGACAGCCCAGACGCAGCUGAGUCGGAAGCUCCCGGGGACGACGCUGAGUGCCCUGGAGGCCGCAGCCAACCCGGCACUGCCCUCAGACUUCAAGACCAUCCUGGACUGAUGGCCACCCGCCCACAGCCGGGCCGAGAGCAGACACCAGCAGCCCUGUCACGCCGGGCUCUACGUCCCAGGGAGGGAGGGGCGGCCCACACCCAGACCCGCACCGCUGGGAGUCUGAGGCCUGAGUGAGUGUCUGGCCAAGGCCUGCAUGUCCGGCUGAAGGCUGAGUGUCCAGCUGAGGCCUGAGCGAGUGUCCAGCCAAGGGCUGAGUGUCCAGCACACCUGCCGUCUUCACUUCCCCACAGGCUGGCGCUCGGCUCCACCCCAGGGCCAGCUUUUCCUCGCCAGGAGCCCGGCUUCCCACUCCCCACAUGGGAAUAGUCCAUCCCCAGAUUCGCCAUUGUCCACCCCUCGCCCUGCCCUCCUUUGCCUUCCACGCCCACCAUCCAGAUGGAGACCCUGAGAAGGACCCUGGGAGCUCUGGGAAUUUGGAGUGACCAAAGGUGUGCCCUGUACACAGGUGAGGACCCUGCACCUGGAUGGGGGUCCCUGUGGGUCAAAUUGGGGGGGGGGUGCUGUGGGAGUAAAAUACUGAAUAUAUGAGUUUUUCAGUUUUGAAAAAAAUCUCAUGUUUGAAUCCUAAC